GGCAGUUCUCUGGUGACGCACCCCAGAAUCGGGCUCCCUCCUCUCUGGUUCUGGGUGGGUCACUCAAGAACCGCA
rfam:Myotis brandtii contig239392, whole genome shotgun sequence.